AUGUUCUCUGACAGCGGGGCACCGGCACCUGGGGAGCAGAAGAGCUUCAAGCACCACACCCCGCACUUCAUCCCGUGGCUGCGCAACAGUCUGAAGCCCCAACACGACAGUGACCUGGGGCUUAACGGACCGUACAAAUCCGGCUCGGAGGCCCCCGGCCAUCUGACCCCGCUGGAGAGAGCCAAAGGCAUCGGACUCUUCUCCAUUCAGGGUAAAGAAAAGAAGAAGGGGGAGCUGCGUCUCAAUGGCGUGGGGAUGGCGAGGAUAUUGCCGGUGGUGCUGAGGGGGCACCACAUACUGCCCGGGGGCCUGGGGAAGCAGAAGCAAGACAGAGCUUCCAAGUGGAGCCAGCCUCCAGAGCUCCCCGCUGACCUGGUUGCAGGAGAUCUCCAGCAGGGUCUGAGCGACAACUCCACAUCUGCACCGGAGCACAACAGCAGCCUCCUCCAGGCACAGAACCACGGGACCGGCACCUCAACAUACGGACCGCUUGUGGGAGCCCCUCCUGCAGCCAGUCCAGAAGAUCCAGAACGUAAAGCAACUGAUGUGGAGGAACCCAAGGUGAAUGUGUGGGACUAUGGCAGCAGUACCAACUACCGCCAACGAGAGCUCCAUUCAUCCAGCUGGAUCGGUUCUGACCGCCGGGGACUAACAGAGCACAGCCUGACUUCCAGCUUCGGCCGCAUCCAGCAGAAGAGUAGGAAGUCCCAGAGCCAGAGAGACCUGAGGGAGCCACCUGUGGAGGGCCUCAGCAGGCCCCUCAACGGAGUCGUGCUCUCCACCGGAGUUUCGGAGAGAGGCUUCAACUGCGCGGCAACUCUCCGAGGCCCCAGGAAGCCCAGAACGAACUCGGAGUACGCUGGGAUCCUGGGCCCGAACCAGACACGUGUCCAAUGCAGACCGACCGCUGAUAGAGCGCUGCAAGUGAAGGAAGUGGGCUGCAGCGGGAAGGUGGUUAGAAAUCAGAUCAAGAGAGUGGUGGACAACCUGGAGCAGGUUCUUCGUGCGCUGAGGGACGUCCAGCAGGAAAUGAGAGAGGUGGUGCAGCAGAUCGAUUUCCUGACCUCGUCUAUCGACGUGAGCGACGACGAGCAGCAGAGCGCCGCAGGAGGCGACGGCGCCGACAGCUCCCCCUCAGGUUCCAGUUCCAGCGUGGCGACGGUGGGCGGUUUCCGUCGGAGGCCCUCGGAGCUCGGAGACAAGCCGAGUGCCGCGGGUUCAUCCGGCCGAAGAGACCAUCACCGCAGGAGCGUUUCGCCACCAAACGCGCUCCUCAGCGCGGUCGCGUCUGGGCUUUCGCCAGACAGGGUUUUGAGUCUUCGCUUCACCUCCCAAGCGGCGCCGCUGCGGCCCGGCGGCAGCCUCCGUUCCUCCAGUCCUCCUCAGUUGGAAGCCGAUCUGGACUUUAAUCCAGCUCCCCAGAAGAGCCUCCCCGUCCGCCCCCCCACUCCUGGUCUAUCGCCUCUGACGGUGAACCUCCAUCACCCCAGCAGCCCCGGUUCUCGACCCCACUCCCCGGGGCCUUCCACCUCCAUCCGAGUCUCUCCGUCCUGCCCCCCGUCUCCAAAGAUUAAGCCACCCCCCACACUCUGCCCUUCUGUCAUCAUCGAGAACAAAAUCCGGCAUUACCAGAACCUGCAAAGUGACCACCCAUCUGUUGGUCAACCUUCGUCUCCGUGGCUUCAGCCUCCAUCUGCCUGCUGCCCACCCACCAACAUGGAAACUCAAUUUCCAGCUGGUGAUCACAGAGAGGAGCCGCCAUCCUCGGCACACCCUGUCAACGGACCGUUGCAGGGGCGUACGGGCCCCGUAUCCGCAAAGCCGUCGGCGGCACAAGGCGGCCGGGGACGCAAGCCGCCCCCGUACCCCCACCACAGACUCUCCGAGCAGGGGAAGAAAGAGGAACCCCGCAAAGCUCCCCCCUACCCCGAGAAGAGAAGGCUGCUCUCAACCACAGUGUGA
rnacentral:lncRNA from 1 species